GUGGCCAUAGCUCAGUUGGUUAGAGCGCUGCUCUGUGAAAGCAGAGGUCGCCGGUUCGAGACCGGUUGGCCACC
rnacentral:tRNA from 1 species